UGGGGAAUAUUGGACAAUGGGGGAAACCCUGAUCCAGCGACGCCGCGUGUGUGAAGAAGGCCUGCGGGUUGUAAAGCACUUUUAGUGGGGACAAAAAGCCAGGGGCUAACACCAUCUGGUCUUGAUUUAACCCACAGAAAAAGCACCGGCUAACUCUGUGCCAGCAGCCGCGGUAAUACAGAGGGUGCAAGCGUUAAUCGGAAUUACUGGGCGUAAAGCGCGCGUAGACGGUUUUGUAAGUCAGAUGUGAAAUCCCCGGGCUCAACCUGGGAACUGCAUUUGAUACUGCGUAGCUAGAGUACGGUAGAGGGAAGUGGAAUUUCCGGUGUAGCGGUGAAAUGCGUAGAUAUCGGAAGGAACACCAGUGGCGAAAGCGACUUCCUGGACCAGUACUGACGUUCAUGUGCGAAAGCGUGGGGAGCAAACA
rnacentral:rRNA from 1 species